AAAAACUCCCCCCAAGACAAACAUCAAACCGCCUCACACUCUCUUCACUUCAUGUAUCUCUUUCAUUUUUCCAAAGACAUAAAAAAAUACAAAAAUACACUCCCCUCUUCUCAUAUGUCUCAGAAUCACUUCAAAAGAAAAAAGAGAACGUCACAUACUUAGCAAAGUUACAGCAAACAAAAACACCAUACAAGAUAUCCUCUCACUAUCACAACACAUAACAACCAUGGAUAAACAUAAAACUCCAACAUAACCCUCC
rnacentral:lncRNA from 1 species